rnacentral:lncRNA from 1 species
UUCUUAAGUAAUAUGAUUAAUUGAACUUAAAUUUAUCAUGAACUUAGUCCUGGUAGUAUUUUGCAAAUUAUGUUGUAGAUCAAUAGCUCGCGUUGUUGCUUUCAUUUGUCUAUUUUGAUAUGUUCCUAGAGAAAACUAUGUUGAAAGAUGUUAGUAGCAAUGAUGCGGAUUGGAUCCGUGAUCUGAGGUUUACCCUCAUUCCUGCACAGAAGAAUUAUGUCCUUGAUGCACUGCUAGGUGACAGACCUAUUGCAGGAGCAGAUGCAGACGUUAUGAACGUUUGGCUAGCUCAAUAUGAUGACUACUUGAUAGUUUUGUGCACCAUGCUUUAUGGCUUAGAAUCGGGACUUCAAAGACGUUUUGUACGGCAUGGACCAUAUGAGAUGUUCCAGGAAUUGAAGUUAAUAUUUCAAGCAAAUACCCGAGUUGAGAGAUAUGAAGUCUCCAACAAGUUCUAUAGCUAAAAGAUGGAGGAGAAUCGCUCAACUAGUGAGCAUGUGCCCAGAUUGUCUGGGUACUUCAAUCGCUUGAAUCAAGUGGGAGUUAAUCUUCCAGAUAAGAUAGUGAUUGACAGAGUUCUCUCACCAUCACCAAGUUAGUAGAACUUCGUGAUGAACUAUAGUAUGCAAGGGAUGACGAAAGUGAUUCCCGAGCUCUUCGUGAUGUUGAAAUUGACGAAGGUAGAAAUCAAGAAAGAGCAUCAAGUGUUGAUGAUUGACAAGACGACUAGUUUCAAGAAAAGGGCAAAGGGAAAGAAAGGGAAACUUCAAGUAGAAUGGCAAACAAGUUGUCACUCCCGUGAAGAAGACCAAAGCUGGACCAAAGCCUGAAACUGAGUGCUUACACUGCAAAGGAAAUGGUCACUGGAAGCGGAAAUGCCCUAAAUAUUUGGUGGAUAAGAAGGAUGGCAAAGUGAACAAGGGUAUAUUUGAUGUACAGGUGUUUGAUGUGUGCCUUACUAGUGUUUACAGUAGCCCCUGAGUAUUUGAUACUUGUUCGGUUGCUAAGAUUAGUAACUCGAAAUAGGAGUUACAGAAUAAACAGAGACUAGUUGAAGGGGAAGUGACGAUGAGUGUUGGAAGUAGUUCCAAGAUUGAUAUGAUCAUCAUCGCACACUCCCUAUACUUUCGGGAUUAGUGUUGAACCUAAAUAAAUGUUAUUUGACGUUUGCAUUGAGCAUGAAUAUGAUUUGAUCAUGUUUAUUGCAAUACGGUUAUUCAUUUAAAAUCAGAGAAUAAUUAUUGUUCUGUUUAAAUGAAUAAAACCUUUGAUGGUCAUACACCCAAUGAAAAUAGUUUGUUGGAUCUCGAUCGUAGUGAUACACAUAUUCAUAAUAUGGAUGCCAAAAGAUGCAAAGUUAAUAAUGAUAGUGCAACUUAUUUGUGGCACUGCCGUUUGGGUCAUAUCGGUGUAAAGCGCAUGAAGAAACUCCAUAAAGAUGGAUUUUCAGAAUCACUUGGUUAUGAAUCAUUUGAUGCUUGCGAACCGUGCCUUUUUUUGGCAAGAUGACUAAAACUCCGUUCUCCGGAACAAUGGAAUGAGCUACUGACUUAUUGGAAAUAAUACAUACCAAUGUAUGUGAUCCGAUGAGUGUAGAGGCUCGCGGCGUGUAUCAUUAUUUUCUGACCUUCACAGAUGAUUUGAGAAGAUAUGGGUAUAUCUACUUGAUGAAACAUAAGUCUGAAAUAAUUGAAAGGUUCAAAGAAUUUCGGAGUGAAAUGGAAAAAUCAUCGUAACAAGAAAAUAAAGUUUCUGCGAUUUGAUCGCGGAGACGAAUAUUUGAGUUAUGAGUUUGGUCUUCAAUUAAAACAAUAUGAAAUUGUUUCACAGCUCACGCCACCUGGAACACCACAAUGUUAUGGUGUGUCCGAACAUCGUAACCGCACUUCAUUGGAUAUGGUGCGAUCUAUGAUGUCUCUUACUGAUUUACUGAAGGAAAUAUGCCCUAGAGGCAAUAAUAAAGUUAUUAUUUAUUUCCUCAUAUCAUGAUAAAUGUUUAUUAUUCAUGCUAGAAUUGUAUUAACCGGAAACAUAAUACAUGUGUGAAUAUAUAGACAAACAGAGUGUCACUAGUAUGCCUCUACUUGACUAGCUUGUUAAUCAAAGAUGGUUAUGUUUCCUAACCAUGGACAAGGAGUUGUUAUUUGAUUAACAAGGUCACAUCAUUAGUUGAAUGAUCUGAUUGACAUGACCCAUUCCAUUAGCUUAGCACCCGAUCGUUUAGUAUGUUGCUAUUGCUUUUAUCCAUGACUUAUACAUGUUCCUAUAACUAUGAGAUUAUGCAACUCCCGUUUACCGGAGGAACACUUUGGGUACUACCAAACGUCACAACGUAACUGGGUGAUUAUAAAGGAGUACUACAGGUGUCUCCAAAGGCAGAUGUUGGGUUGGCGUAUUUCGAGAUUAGGAUUUGUCACUCCGAUUGUCGGAGAGGUAUCUCUGGGCCCUCUCGGUAAUACACAUCACUUAAGCCUUGCAAGCAUUACAACUAAUGAGUUAGCUGUGAGAUGAUGUAUUACGGAACGAGUAGAGAGACUUGCCGGUAACGAGAUUGAACUAGGUAUUGGAUACCGAUGAUCGAAUCUCGGGCAAGUAACAUACCGAUGACAAAGGGAACAACGUAUAUUGUUAUGCGGUCUGACCGAUAAAGAUCUUCGUAGAAUAUGUAGGAGCCAAUAUGGGCAUCCAGGUCCCGCUAUUGGUUAUUGACCGGAGACGUGUCUCGGUCAUGUCUACAUUGUUCUCGAACCGUAGGGUCCGCACGCUUAAGGUUUCGAUGACUGUUAUAUUAUGAGUUUAUGUAUUUUGAUGUACCGAAGAAGUUCGGAGUCCCGGAUGUGAUCACGGACAUGACGAGGAGUCUCGAAAUGGUCGAGACAUAAAGAUUGAUAUAUUGGAAGCCCAUAUUUGGAGUUCGGAAUGGUUCCGGGUGAAAUUGGGAUUUUACCGGAAAACCGGGGGGUUACUGGAACCCUCCCGGAGGCUAUUUGGCCUUAGUGGGCCUCGAGGGAGAAGAGGAGGGGCCGGCCAGGGGUGGCCGCGCGCCCCCUCCCCCCCUAGUCCGAAUAGGACAAGGAGGGGGGGGCGGCGCCCCCCUUCCUUCUUCUCCCUCCCCCCAAUCCUACUCCAACUAGGAAAGGGGGGGAGUCCUACUCCCGGUGGGAGUAGGACUCCUCCAGGCGGGCCUCCUCUAGGCCGGCCGCACCCCCCCUUGCUCCUUUAUAUACGGGGGCAGGUGGGCACCCUAGAACACACAAGUUUGAUCUACGGAUCGUUCCUUAGCCGUGUGCGGUGCCCCCCUCCACCAUAUUCCACCUCGUUCAUAUCGUCGCGAAGCUUAGGCGAAGCCCUGCGCCGGUAGAACAUCAAGAUCGUCACCACGCCGUCGUGCUGACGGAACUCUCCCUCGACACUCGGCUGGAUCGGAGUACAAGGGACGUCAUCGAGCUGUACGUGUAUCAAGAACUCGGGGGCGCCGGAGUAACGGCGCCGGGAUCGGUCGGAUCGCGAGGAGAACGUACGACUACUUCCUCUACGUUGUGAUCGCUUCCGCUUCGGUCUACGAGGGUACAUAGACAACACUCUCCCCUCUCAUUGCUAUACAUCACCAUGAUCUUGCAUGUGCGUAGGAAAUUUUUUGAAAUUACUACGUUCCCCAACAGUGGCAUCCGAGCCUAGGUUUUUAUGGUUUGAUGUUUUGCACGAGUAGAACACAAGUGAGUUGUGGGCGAUACAAGUCAUACUACCUACCAGCAUGUCAUACUUUGGUUCAGCGGUAUUGUGAGAUGAAGCGGCCCGGACCGACAUUACGCGUACGCUUACGCGAGACUGGUUUCACCGCUACGAGCACUCGUUGCUUAAAGGUGACUGGCGGGUGUCUGUCUCUCUCACUUUAGUUGAACCGAGUGUGGCUACGCCCGGUCCUUGAGAAGGUUAAAACGGAGUCUAUUUGACGAAGUAUCGUUGUGGUUUUGAUGCGUAGGUGAGAUUGGUUCUUGCUAAAGCCCGUAGCAGCCACGUAAAAUUUGCAACAACAAAGUAGAGGACGUCUAACUUGUUUUUGCAGGGCAUGUUGUGAUGUGAUAUGGUCAAGACGUGAUGCUAUAUUUUAUUGUAUGAGAUGAUCAUGUUUUGUAACCGAAGUUAUCGGCAACUGGCUGGAGCCAUAUGGUUGUCGCUUUAUUGUAUGAAAUGCAAACGCCCUGUAAUUGCUUUACUUUAUCACUAAGCGGUAGCGAUAGUCGUAGAAGCAAUAGAUGGCAUAGACGACAACGAUGCUACGAUGAAGAUCAAGGUGUCGCGCCGGUGACGAUGGUGAUCACGACGGUGCUUCAGAGAUGGAGAUCACAAGCACAAGAUGAUGAUGGCCAUAUCAUAUCACUUAUAUUGAUUGCAUGUGAUGUUUAUCCUUUAUGCAUCUUAUCUUGCUUUGAUUGACGGUAGCAUUUUAAGAUGAUCUCUCACUAAAAUUAUCAAGUAGUGUUCUCCCUGAGUAUGCACCGUUGCCAAAGUUCGUCGUGCCGAGACACCACGUGAUGAUCGGGUGUGAUAAGCUCUACGUCCAUCUACAACGGGUGCAAGCCAGUUUUGCACACGCAGAAUACUCAGGUUAAACUUGACGAGCCUAGCAUAUGCAGAUAUGGCCUCGGAACACGGAGACCGAAAGGUCGAGCGUGAAUCAUAUAGUAGAUAUGAUCAACAUAAGAUGUUCACCAUUGAAAACUACUCCAUCUCACGUGAUGAUCGGUUAUGGUUUAGUUGAUUUGGAUCACGUGAUCACUUAGAUGACUAGAGAGAUGUCUGUCUAAGUGGGAGUUCUUAAGUAAUAUGAUUAAUUGAACUUAAAUUUAUCAUGAACUUAGUCCUGGUAGUAUUUUGCAAAUUAUGUUGUAAGAUCAAUAGCUUGCGUUGUUGCUUUCAUAUGUUUAUUUUGAUAUGUUCCUAGAGAAAAUUGUGUUGAAAAAUGUUAGUAGCAAUGAUGCGGAUUUGAUCCGUGAUCUGAGGUUUAUCCUCAUUGCUGCACAGAAGAAUUAUGUCCUUAAUGCACCGCUAGGUGACAGACCUAUUGCAGGAGCAGAUGCAGACGUUAUGAACGUUUGGCUAGCUCAGUAUGAUGACUACUUGAUAGUUUUGUGCACCAUGCUUUAUGGCUUAGAAUCGGGACUUCAAAGAUGUUUUGAACAUCAUGGACCAUAUGAGAUGUUCCAGGAAUUGAAGUUAAUAUUUCAAGCAAAUACCCGAGUUGAGAGAUAUGAAGUCUUCAACAAGUUCUAUAGCUAAAAGAUGGAGGAGAGUCGCUCAACUAGUGAGCAUGUGCUCAGAUUGUCUGGGUACUACAAUUGCUUGAAUCAAGUGGGAGUUAAUCUUCCAGAUAAGAUAGUGAUUGACAGAAUUCUCUAGUCACCAUCACCAAGUUAGUAGAACUUCGUGAUGAACUAUAGUAUACAAGGGAUGACGAAAAUGAUUCCCGAGCUCUUCGUGAUGUUGAAAUCGACGAAGGUAGAAAUCAAGAAAGAGCAUCAAGUGUUGAUGGUUGACAAGAUCACUAGUUUCAAGAAAAGGGCAAAGGGAAAGAAAGGGGAACUUCAAGUAGAUUGACAAGCAAGUUGUCACUCCCACGAAGAAGCCCAAAGCUGAACCAAAGCCUGAAACUGAGUGCUUACACUACAAAGGAAAUGGUCACUGGAAGCGGAACUGCCCUAAAUAUUUGGUGGAUAAGAAGGAUGGCAAAGUGGAAAAGGGUAUAUUUGAUAUACAGGUGUUUGAUGUGUGCUUUACUAGUGUUUAUAGCAACCCCUCGGUAUUUGGUACUGGUUCAGUUGCUAAGAGUAGUAACUCGAAAC